UCCCCGGUAGCUUAAUUGGUAGAGCAGGUGGCUGUUAACCACCAGGUUCCAGGUUCGAGUCCUGGCAGGGGAG
rnacentral:tRNA from 1 species